AGUACUGUCAUAAGUCUUCGAAAUUCUUUAUUGCUGUCAAGGGAAAUAUUUUCGUUAUGUACAAUCUAUUGACGUUAUUUUAAAAUCUGUUUUUUACAUCCGGGUUUUGAAUCGGAAGUACUUAGAGGGACAAUAAAUAUCAGAUAUUUGUCGAAAUGAAAACGUUGAGAAAGGAUGACAAAAAGCUAACCGAAGAAUUGCUUGCAACAGAAAAUGAAUAUGAAAAGGUGUAUAAGGUCGCCGAGGAUUGGCUUCGUCAUAUUUAUAUGACUUGUAAAAGACAAUUUGUGUUAUGGAGAUAUGGACACAUCAAGGAGAUGCUAAAAGAGUGUAUUGAUUUUUUGGAACAUCCGGAGCAGUACGGUAAUGCACCUAUACCAAAAUACGUCAAGGACGCCAGCGAAGCACCGUUUGAGUAUAUUGAUAUCGAACAGUUGAAAACCAAAGAAGAAAUAGAGGCGGACAUACAGAGAAAAAAAGAGCGGAAAGAAAAGCUUGAUCAAAAGAUCAGAAGACUUAAGUUACUUGGGAAAAGCUACGAAGAUUCUAAACAAUAUAAUCCUUACAGAAGAUAUGGAGUGCUUAGAUCCAUCAUAAAGGAAAUUAUUCGAAACUAAUAUAAAGAAAUCAUUCGAAAAUAAUAUUGAAGCAAUUAUUCGAAACUUAUAUAUCAAACUCCGACGCAGUUGUCUCCCUUCGCUUCGCUACACAAUCAAAUGGGUGUGUUUUUAGUUUUAUUUAUACUGGGCGCCGGCUUUGCCAUAUGUCCCAGACUAUCGGCCUCUGUUACGGAGGACUUAGUUCGUCUUCAACGUCGCUGGUCGUAGAGCCGCAACGGAGGUCUUCUCAUGCCGUCUUUCGUCGUAGAUCUUUUCUAGGACCCAGUUCUUCGCUUCGAGAACGCAGUACACAAUAGGGGGAAAGGCACUUCUUCCGGGAGCAGCAGCUCUUUGUACGGCCACUCCCUUCGCCGUUGGUUAGGUCACACCAGCUAAGUGACCUAACUAGGUCAUCUAUCUGGUGUAACCUAUGCCCUCUGGGCGACGUGCACGCCGCGCAGGGAAGUCGGAGGACAAUCAAACGAGUGUGUGUUUGCGUUUGUUUACCCUCGCCACCGGAAAAAGACCAUAUGGGCAUAUUUACAUAAAAUUCGUAUAGUUCGUCAUUUGAAACAAGGCAAUUUAGCAGCAGCUGCUGAAAAUUCCUCUGUGUUCUUUAUACGGCAUAGGUCCAAUAUGGUUAUUAUUGGAUUGUGUCAGUAUUAUCGUUAUCACAAUGCAACAUUUUAUAGCAGAAAUACAAUUGAGCCGCGUCAUGACAAAACCAACAUAAUGGGUUUGCGACCAGCAUGGAUCCAGACGAGCCUGCGCAUCCGCGCAGUCUGAUCAGGAUCCAUGCUGUUCGCUAACCAACUUUAUUACAAGUAGAGGAACUGAUAGCGAACAACAUGGAUCCUGAUCAGACUGCGGUAGGCUAAAACUUAUUUUAUAGACACGAACAAAUAUAUUAUAAUAUAUUUUCUGAUCUUUGCAAUCUAAAUCGUACUGUAUAUAUCUGUAUGUAUUUUCCUGUAUAAAGUUAUUUUUAUAUACUAUAAUUCAUCUUACAGGGCACCGAGAUGUAGCGACUGCGUUUAGUUUUUAUACCAUAACAAUUUGAGUUUGAUACAUCGGAAUUUUGCAUGACUAGAGUUGCAUCAAAAAUAAUUUAUGUUCAUAUUUAUGACAGCCACACUUUAUCUUUGCAUAUCGUGGCUACUUCCUUAAAAAGACACUUAAAACGAGAAGUAUCUUUAAAAAGAUACUCGGCCGAACUAAAACUGGUCUAUUUGGGAAACAUGGAAAAAGAAUCAUAUGAAUUAUGAUGUUGAGCUAUUAUUGAAUUUUACUUUUAAAUCUUCUAAAUAUUAAAAUCAUAUGCAUAUGUUUGCAAACACAAAGUAUUUUAAUAGAAACAAAAUCUUAAGUCUAAAGAAAAUCCUUUAAAAGUAAUGAAGAAGUAAAUAAGAACUACAAACAAAAAAAAAAACAAUUUAUGUCGUACUCAAUUUUUUAGUGUAAGUUCAUUUUUACCGUCAUGUGAUUCUUUUAUUGGUCGUUUUAGCUCAAAGAAAAACAUUUAAGUUAUUGAAGUUUGUUCCAAUCGAAAUUUUAAUUGAAAGUUUAUAAAUGACAACAUUAUGUUGAUACGAAAUACCCGAAUCCUGCAACACCUUUGGAAAUAAGGAAAGAAACCUUUAAUCCGAAAAAAACGGAAGAGGGCCUUCUUAUCUAAAAUACUUUGGCAAACAUUUAUUAUAAUCAAACCAUUCAAUUGUUAGCGGUUAAAUAAAUACUUAAAUUUUUAUUGAAUAUGUCUAAUUUGAAUAAAAGAAUUAAUAAAAUAUGUAUGAGAAGCUGCGUUCCCUAUUACAGGACAAGUAAAGUUGGUCCUUUCUUGAAAAAAGAUGCCAGUUUUUUAAUGACACUAUAUAUUAAUAUCGUAACCACCUAUAUAUGUAUAGAACUUUAAACAGACAUAUCUACAUUGUAUCAAGUCAAAACGUGUUUAUUUUUUGUAUACAAAGAGACUUUGUAUCAAUUAUAAAAAAAUAAUAUAAAAUUUGAGCAUUUGUUUAAAUGGAUAGUAAAACAACUUAUGAAUGUAGAUAUUUUGUUUCCACGCUCCUCAAAAUUAGACGCGUGUAUCUUUGUCAGUGACAUCUCCAUGAUAUCAUUACAAAUGAGUUAGGGUUCCACAGGAAGGUGACUGUUGCGCUACAAAUCGAGUCAGUUAGAGUGACAUCCCCUGAUAACAUUGCAAAUUGGUAGGAGCUCCACAGGGACGUGACUCUUGCGCUACAAAUCGAGUCAUUUUGAGUGACCUCUCCUGUUAACAUUGCAAAUGGCGUAAGGGUUCAAAAGAGAAGUGACCGUUGCGCUAAAAAUAGUCAUUUACAGUGACCUACCCUGUAAACAUUGCAAACGGCGUAAGGGUUCGGUGGGAGGUAUCUGUUGCGCUCCAAUAAAGAGUUGAUUAGAGUGAACUCCCCUGAUAGAAUUGCAAAUGAUGUAAGGGUACAAAGAGAGGUAACUAUUGUGCUCCAAAAAAGUCGAUUAAAGUGACCUCCCCUGAAAAUAUUGCAAAUGGCAUAAAGGUUCAAAAGGGAGUUUACUGUUACACUAAAAAAGUGUCGGUAAGAGUGACCUCCCCUGAAAACAGUGCAAAUGGCGUAAAGGUUGAAAAGGGAGGUUACUUUUGGAAUAAAAAAGAGACGGUUAGAGUGACCGCCCCUGAAAACAUUACAAAUGGCGUAAGGGCUCUAAUGGGAGGUUACUGUUGCCUUUAAAAAAGAGUUGAUUAGAGUGAACACCCCUGAUAAAAUUGCAAAUGGCGUAAGGGUUGUAAAGGGAGGUAACUGUUGCCUUCAAAAAAGAGUUGAUUAGAGUGACCUCCCCUAUAACAAAUGGCGUAUUGGUUUAAAAGGGAGGUGAUUGUUGCGCUACGAAAGAUCCGGUUAGAGUGACCUUCCCUAUAAAGCAUUGCAAAUGGUGUAAGGAUUGAACAGAACUUUGCAUUAUUGAAUGUAAGAAGUUUAUAUUAUUAGUCUUAUUCUGUAUUUGAAGCUCCUCUUAAGUAAGAUUUUAUUUCUCAACGACUAAUAAUAUUUUUUCCCAAUUAUGAUUUUAAAAUCUAGACCAAAACGCCUUUGUUAAUGUUGUCAUUUUAUUAGGGAUUUUCGACCAUGGGACCACACACAUGCAUCGAGGACAUGUUUGAAGGAAGGUGACCGUGCGACCACAUACACGCAUCACAGGAUUCCCCUUCUCAUACGAGAAAGGGACAAAGAGAUGUCCGCCCUUUUAUUAAAGGGCAGACUUAAAAAAUGCCUUUGCCUUAUGUUAUUGAUAAGGAGGCUAAUUUUCAGAAAUAUCUUUGAAUUGGUUUAUAUACAGCAUAAGAAACGCAAACCAAGCGGGUUAUCAGUUAACGUCUUUGUAAGUCAGCUAUGAAAUUUUAAAAUGAUCAUAUAUAACUUCUUGGAAAAUUUUGAGUUUAAAGUUUUUUCUACUUCUUAUUUUAUGUAUAUAACAGAAUUAUUUUAAUUUUGCAAAACAUGAACGUUUCAAAAACGUUUUAUAUGCGUUUUACAUUGGAGAUAUAUUUCACACGUUGUUUUCACAUAUAAACC